rnacentral:rRNA from 1 species
CGCAUUAGCUUGACGGCGGGGUAACGGCCCACCGUGGCGACGAUGCGUAGGGGUUCUGAGAGGAAGGUCCCCCACACUGGUACUGAGACACGGACCAGACUCCUACGGGAGGCAGCAGUGAGGAAUAUUGGUCAAUGGGAGAGAUCCUGAACCAGCCAAGCCGCGUGAGGGAAGACGGCCCUAUGGGUUGUAAACCUCUUUUGUCGGAGAACAAAACCCGGGACGUGUCCCGGACUGCGUGUAUCCGAAGAAAAAGCAUCGGCUAACUCCGUGCCAGCAGCCGCGGUAAUACGGAGGAUGCGAGCGUUAUCCGGAUUUAUUGGGUUUAAAGGGUGCGUAGGCGGUCUGUUAAGUCAGCGGUAAAAUUGCGGGGCUCAACCCCGUCGAGCCGUUGAAACUGGCAGACUUGAGUUGGCGAGAAGUACGCGGAAUGCGCGGUGUAGCGGUGAAAUGCAUAGAUAUCGCGCAGAACUCCGAUUGCGAAGGCAGCGUACCGGCGCCAGACUGACGCUGAGGCACGAAAGCGUGGGGAUCGAACAGGAUUAGAUACCCUGGUAGUCCACGCAGUAAACGAUGAAUGCUGGUUGUCCGGGUCGAAUGAGACCUGG